GUGAAGAGCGCAGUGUGUGUGUGAGGGGUGCAGUGUGUAUGAAGGGUGCACUAUGUGUGAUGGGUGCAGUGUGUCUGUGUGAGGAGUGCAUGUGUAUGGAGAGGUGCAAUGUGGUGUUUGGGUUGCAUUGUGUGUGUGAAGGGUGCACUAUGUGUGAAGGGUGCAGUGUGUGCGUGUGGGUGGUGCAGUGUUUGUGUGUGGGGUACAG